UACGGGGGGGGCAAGCGUUGUUCGGAAUUACUGGGCGUAAAGGGCGCGUAGGCGGCCUACUAAGUCGGACGUGAAAUCCCUCGGCUCAACCGGGGAACUGCGUCCGAUACUGGACGGCUUGAGUUCGGGAGAGGGAUGCGGAAUUCCAGGUGUAGCGGUGAAAUGCGUAGAUAUCAGGAGGAACACCGGUGGCGAAGGCGGAUCUCUGGGCCAUUACUGACGCUGAGGAGCGAAAGCGUGGGGAGCGAACAGG
rnacentral:rRNA from 1 species